UACGGUCACAUUACGUUGAACACCGAUUUCCGUAUGAUCACAGAUGUUAAGCAACGUUGGGCCUGGGCAGUACCUAGGUGGGUGACUGCUUGGGAAUGAGGGAUGCUGUAAG